AUGGACUCAGCAUAUAAGCUUAUCGUCCCAGAGCAGUAUGACCAGCUCAUAUCAGCAGAGCUCCCAGAAAAGCAUAAGUAUCCCGAAUUGUAUGCAAUGGUGGUAAAGCAUAUGAUGCACGGACCAUGCGGUGCUCUCAACCCAAAGAAUGUUUGCAUGCAAGAAAAUGGAUGCAAGUGUAGAUACCCGCGGCCGUUCAAUGAAAACACAACACAGGGGAAGGACUCAUAUCCAGUUUAUCAGCGUAGAGAUGACGGUAGAUGUGCUAAGGUCCGAGGGAAGAUGUUGGACAACAGAUGGGUUGUGCCUUAUAACCCAUACCUUCUGCGGAUGUUCAAUUGCCACAUCAACAUUGAGGUCUGCUCUAGCAUAAAGGCCGUCAAAUAUCUUUACAAGUACAUCUACAAGGGCCAUGAUAAGGCUUCUUUCAGCAUCGACCAGCCCGACGCUGAUGGUAACAUUGAUGAGAUCAAGAGACACGUUGAUGGAAGAUGGGUCACCCCUCCGGAGGCUAUGUGGAGUAUAUUUGGCUUCCCACUUUGCGCCAAUCACCCGCCUGUCUUGUAG
rnacentral:rRNA from 1 species